rnacentral:rRNA from 1 species
AGCACAGAGGAGCUUGCUCCUUGGGUGGCGAGUGGCGGACGGGUGAGGAAUACGUCGGAAUCUGCCUAUUUGUGGGGGAUAACGUAGGGAAACUUACGCUAAUACCGCAUACGACCUACGGGUGAAAGCGGAGGACCUUCGGGCUUCGCGCAGAUAGAUGAGCCGACGUCGGAUUAGCUAGUUGGCGGGGUAAAGGCCCACCAAGGCGACGAUCCGUAGCUGGUCUGAGAGGAUGAUCAGCCACACUGGAACUGAGACACGGUCCAGACUCCUACGGGAGGCAGCAGUGGGGAAUAUUGGACAAUGGGCGCAAGCCUGAUCCAGCCAUGCCGCGUGUGUGAAGAAGGCCUUCGGGUUGUAAAGCACUUUUGUCCGGAAAGAAAAGCUUCGGGUUAAUACCCCGAGGUCAUGACGGUACCGGAAGAAUAAGCACCGGCUAACUUCGUGCCAGCAGCCGCGGUAAUACGAAGGGUGCAAGCGUUACUCGGAAUUACUGGGCGUAAAGCGUGCGUAGGUGGUUUGUUAAGUCUGAUGUGAAAGCCCUGGGCUCAACCUGGGAAUGGCAUUGGAAACUGGCUUACUAGAGUGCGGUAGAGGGUAGUGGAAUUCCCGGUGUAGCAGUGAAAUGCGUAGAUAUCGGGAGGAACAUCUGUGGCGAAGGCGACUACCUGGACCAGCACUGACACUGAGGCACGAAAGCGUGGG